UACGAAGGGGGCUAGCGUUGCUCGGAAUCACUGGGCGUAAAGGGUGCGUAGGUGGGCUGGUAAGUCAGUGGUGAAAUCUCCAGGCUUAACUUGGAAACUGCCAUUGAUACUAUUAGUCUUGAAUACCGUGGAGGUCAGCGGAAUAUGUCAUGUAGCGGUGAAAUGCUUAGAUAUGACAUAGAACACCAAUUGCGAAGGCAGCUGGCUACACGAAUAUUGACACUGAUGCACGAAAGCGUGGGGAUCAAACAGG
rnacentral:rRNA from 1 species